AUUGAACGCUGGCGGCAGGCCUAACACAUGCAAGUCGAACGAGUGGCGGACGGGUGAGUAAUGUCUGGGAAACUGCCUGAUGGAGGGGGAUAACUACUGGAAAAGGUAGCUAAUACCGCAUACCAUCAGAUGUUCCCAGAUGGGAUUAGCUAGUGGGUGGGGUAAUGGCUCACCUAGGCGACGAUCCCUAGCUGGUCUGAGAGGAUGACCUGCCACACUGGAACGGAGACACGGUCCAAACUCCUACGGGAGGCAGAAGUGGGGAAUUUUGCACAAUGGGCGAAAGCCUGAUGCAGCCAUGCGGCGUGGGGGAAGAAGGCUUUCGGGUUGAAAAGCACGUUCAGCGGGGAGGCGUUACUCGCAGAAAAAGCACCGGCUAACUCCGUGCCAGCAGCCGCGGUAAUAC
rnacentral:rRNA from 1 species